UACGAAGGGGGCUAGCGUGUUCGGAAUUACUGGGCGUAAAGCGCGCGCAGGCGGUCUUCCAAGUCAGUGGUGAAAGCCUGGAGCUCAACUCCAGAACUGCCAUUGAAACUGCAAGACUUGAGUACGAGAGAGGUGAGUGGAAUUCCCAGUGUAGAGGUGAAAUUCGUAGAUAUUGGGAAGAACACCGGUGGCGAAGGCGGCUCACUGGCUCGUAACUGACGCUCAGGCGCGACAGCGUGGGGAUCAAACAGG
rnacentral:rRNA from 1 species